rnacentral:rRNA from 1 species
AACGAACGCUGGCGGCAUGCCUAACACAUGCAAGUCGAACGAGACCUCCGUGUCUAGUGGCGCAUGCGUGCGUAACGCGGGGGAAGCUGCACUUAGGUUCGGAAUACUUCCCUGACGGGGGUGCUAAUGCAGGAUAAUGUAUUCGGACCAAGGAUUUAUCGCGCUGGUAUGGGCCCGCGUUGGUUUAGCCUGUUGGUAGGGUAAAAGCCUAUCACGGCGUGGAUACAUAGCUGGUUUGAGAGGAUGAUCCGCCACACUGGGACUGAGACACGGCCCAGACUCCUGCGGAAGGGAGCAGUGGAGAAUAUAGCACAAUGGGCGAGAGCCUGAACCAGCAGUGCCGCGUAAGUGAUGAAGUCGUUAGGGUUGUAAAGCAGUUUUACCCGGGAUGGUAAUGACAGUACCGGGAGAAUAAGCACCGGCUAACUCCGUG